rnacentral:rRNA from 1 species
GUCAAAUAUAUUAAAGUUUAUGAUGGAUACCUAGGCAUUUAGAGUCGAUGAAGGGCGUGGAUACCAACGAAAUGCUUCGGUUAGUUGGAAACAAACUGUGAUCCGAAGAUUCCCGAAUAGGAAAACCUAUAUAACUACUUAGUAAAUUCAUAACUAAGUAAGAGACAACCUGCUGAAUUGAAACAUCUUAGUAAGCAGAGGAAAAGAAAGCAAACGCGAUUUCCUUAGUAGCGGCGAGCGAAACGGAAUUAGUCUAAUCAUUAAAAAAAAACUAUUAAACGAAGCAGCUGAAUCCUGCACCAUAGAUGGUGAAAGUCCCGUAGUUUAAAAUAGAAAAAUUGAUUAUAAAGUAGCAUGGAACACGUGAAAUUCCGUGUGAAUAUACGAGGACCACCUCGUAAGACUAAAUACUCCUAAAUGACCGAUAGUGAAACAGUACCGUGAGGGAAAGGUGAAAAAGAACCCCUGUAGGGGAGUGAAAAAGAACAUGAAAUCAUAAACUGACAAUCAGUGGGAGCUAAAGUGACCGCGUGCCUGUUGAAGAAUGAGCCGGCGACUUAUAGGUAGUGGCUUGGUUAAAAUAACUUUUUGGAGCCAAAGCGAAAGCAAGUCUGAUAAGGGCGCAUGUCACUAUUUAUAGACCCGAACCCGAGUGAUCUAACCAUGGCCAGGAUGAAUCUUGGGUAACACCAAGUGGAAGACCGAACCGACUGAUGUUGAAAAAUCAGCGGAUGAGCUGUGGUUAGGGGUGAAAUUCCAGUCGAACUCGGAGCUAGCUGGAUCUCCUCGAAAUGUGUUGAGGCGCAGCGGUUGAUGAUGGGCUAUUUAGGGGUAAAGCACUGUUUCGGUGCGGGCUGCGAAAGCGGUACCAAAUCGUGGCAAACUAAGAAUACUAAAUACGCUUUCCAUCAACCAGUAAGACAGUGGGGGAUAAGCUUCAUUGUCAAAAGGGAAACAGCCCAGAUCACCAGUUAAGGCCCCAAAGUGAUGGCUAAGUGAUAAAGGAAGUAAAAAGGCAAAGACAACCAGAAGGUUUGCUUAGAAGCAGCCAUCCUUGAAAGAGUGCGUAAUAGCUCACUGGUAGAGCCUUUUUGCGCCGAAAAUGAACGGGGCUAAGUCAUCCGCCGAAACUGUGGGUUACAGUUUUAACUGUUACGGUAGAGGAGCGUUCCGUUAUAGGGUGAAGUUAAAAUGUGAAUUUUAAUGGACGAAACGGAAGUGAGAAUGUCGGCUUGAGUAACGAAAACAUUGGUGAGAAUCCAAUGCCCCGAAAACCUAAGGGUUCCUUCACAAGGUUCGUCCAUGGAGGGUUAGUCAGGACCUAAGGCGAGAUCGAAAGGUGUAGUCGAUGGAAAACAGGUUAAUAUUCCUGUACUUGAUUUAAUUUGAUAAAGAGGGACGGAGAAGGCGGUAACUAGCUAGAUAUUGGUAUUCUAGUAGAAGUAUUGAAUUCUUAAAAGAAUGAAAAAAAACUUUCUUUAGAAAACAUGCGAUCUAACUGGUGCUCUAUUUAUAUAGAGUUUUGGUUUAGUUUUAGUCAUACUUCCAAGAAAAGCUUUUAUUAUCGUUAAAUUAAAUCAACCUGUACCCUAAACUGACACAAGUAGGUAGGUAGAGAAUACUAAGGGGCGCGAGAUAACUCUCUCUAAGGAACUCGGCAAAAUGGCCCCGUAACUUCGGGAGAAGGGGUGCCUACAUAAUGUAGGCCGCAGUGACCAGGCCCAGGCGACUGUUUAUCAAAAACACAGGUCUCCGCAAAGUCGUAAGACAAUGUAUGGGGGCUGACGUCUGCCCAGUGCCGGAAGGUAAAAGAAGUUGGUUAUUCCUCGGAAAAAGCUGACGACUGAAGCCCCGGUGAACGGCGGCUGUAACUCUGACAGUCCUAAGGUAGCGAAAUUCCUUGUCGAGUAAGUUUCGACCCGCACGAAAGACGUAACGAUCUGGGCACUGUCUCGGAGAGAGACUCGGUGAAAUAGAAAUGUCUGUGAAGAUGCGGACUACUUAUACCAGGACAGAAAGACCCUAUGAAGCUUGACUGUAAUUUGGAAUUGGGUUCGGGCUUUUUUUGCGCAGUCUAGGUGGGAGGCGUUGAUAUUAAGUUUUCGGACUUAAUGGAGCCAUCAGUGAGAGACCACUCUAAAAGAGCUAGAAUUCUAACCCAAAAGGUAACGGAGGUGUGCAAAGGUUCCCUCAAGCUGGACGGAAAUCAGCUGUAGAGUGCAAAGGUAUAAGGGAGCUUGACUGCAAGACCAACAAGUCGAGCAGAGGCGAAAGCCGGCCUUAGUGAUCCGACGGUUCCGAGUGGAAGGGCCGUCGCUCAACGGAUAAAAGUUACUCUAGGGAUAACAGGCUGAUCUCCCCCAAGAGUUCACAUCGACGGGGAGGUUUGGCACCUCGAUGUCGUUUCAUCGCAACCUGGGGCUGGAGUAGGUCCCAAGGGUUGGGCUGUUCGCCCAUAAAAGCGGUACGUGAGAUGGGUUCAGAACGUCGCGAGACAGUUCGGUCCAUAUCCGGUAUAAGCGUAAGAGCAUUGAGAGGAUCUCAACAUUGUACGAGAGGACCCGAAGGGACGUACCGAUGGUGUACCAGUUCUUAUGCCAAUAGGAAACGCUGGGUAGCUAUGUACGGAGUGGAUAAUCGCUGAAAGCAUUUAAGUGAGAAGCCCACCUCAAGAUGAAUGCUCUC